rnacentral:rRNA from 1 species
GUCUUUCCCUCCCUUCGGGGUGGGAUUACAAAAGAUAACAGAUCUUUCAUGAUCAUGUGAUGGGUGGUGCAUGGCCGUUCUUAGUUCGUGGAGUGAUCUGUCUGCUUAAUUGCGUUUCAAAUUUUAUAUUUGUUAACAUGCGAGUCUUCAAUGACGGCCACUCCACCUUAUAGACAUUAUAUGAUAUGCACAUUUGUGUAUUUGAUUAUAACUUGUCUGGAGUCUGGCUCGAUUUUUUUGACUCAAUUGAACGCAACGGACGUGAUUGCAAGUCCUUGUUGAACAAAUUAUAUAUAUACUACUUCAUCAUUAGUAUAUAUAGUUCGCUUCUCAUGUCGUAGCAGUCAAACGGGCGGGCGUCUUAAUUGGCGCGGUCACGAGGCUUAAUAUGCUGCGGCUGGGAAAACUUGGGCGACCGCUGUAAUACUUCUCUCUUAAACCAGAGGAAGAUUGCGGCAAUAACAGGUCUGUGAUGC